GUUUUGAUUUCAAACAGGAUAUAUACAUUUACAGGAAAGAAUCAACAAAUGAAUAAAAAAAUGUGGUCUAAAAAUGAUAAGAACAACUACAUUCUUCAAAUUCCUACAAGCUUAUCCCUGAAUUUCCCUUUUAAAAUCAUAAUUAGAGGAAGAGAAAAGUAAAGAAAUAUCAAGGCUCCUCCAAGAUGGGCUCCAGAGCAGGAGUCCAGUGGCAGUAAUUCCGCAACUGGCAACUGCCAAAGUCCGAAUCAAGCCCUUCCAAAGACUCAACCUCAGUCUCUGCCUCCACAGUCAUAGGAACAGCCGGUAGAAUCUUAGCGCCUCUCCGCUUCUUUUGUGACCUUUUCUUAGCAGACUCUACAAUUGCCAUUUCCGAGUCCGAAAUCUUACGAUUGACCUUACUUAAAGGAACUAAAAGGUAAAGCUUUCCAGCUAAAAGCUCGUCCUCAGCACGCAAGGCAGAUAUACGGCGAGUCCUACGGAGGUCGUGCAGAGACGAGACGACGUGGCCAGGUUCUUCGAGCAUGAGCUCAGCGGCUUUUAGAGGGAGCAUGAGUUGCCUGAUGUUGCCGUGAAAAUCCAUAAGUCUUGCAGUUGAAGGGGAAUUAAAGCAGGAAGCAUAGUUUCCCAUAUUAGGUAAGCAAGCGAUUGAAGAGAAAAGGAAUGAGAAGUUGCUGUUAACAGAGAUUUAGGAUGGAUGGAGGGUGGUAUAGCAAAGAUGAU
rnacentral:misc_RNA from 1 species